rnacentral:rRNA from 1 species
ACGGGGCCCGCACAAGCGGCGGAGCAUGUGGAUUAAUUCGAUGCAACGCGAAGAACCUUACCUGGGUUUGACAUAUACCGGAAAGCUGCAGAGAUGUGGCCCCCCUUGUGGUCGGUAUACAGGUGGUGCAUGGCUGUCGUCAGCUCGUGUCGUGAGAUGUUGGGUUAAGUCCCGCAACGAGCGCAACCCUAUCUUAUGUUGCCAGCACGUUAUGGUGGGGACUCGUAAGAGACUGCCGGGGUCAACUCGGAGGAAGGUGGGGACGACGUCAAGUCAUCAUGCCCCUUAUGUCCAGGGCUUCACACAUGCUACAAUGGCCAGUACAGAGGGCUGCGAGACCGUGAGGCAAAGCGAAUCGCAAAAAGCCGGUCUCAGUACGGAUUGGAGUCUGAAACCCGACUCCAUGAAGUUGGAAUCGCUAGUAAUCGCGCAUCAGCAUGGCGCGGUGAAUACGUUCCCGGGCCUU